rnacentral:rRNA from 1 species
AUCUUCCGCAAUGGACGAAAGUCUGACGGAGCAACGCCGCGUGAGUGAAGAAGGUUUUCGGAUCGUAAAACUCUGUUGUCAGGGAAGAACAAGUACCAUAGUAACUGAUGGUACCUUGACGGUACCUGACCAGAAAGCCACGGCUAACUACGUGCCAGCAGCCGCGGUAAUACGUAGGUGGCAAGCGUUGUCCGGAUUUAUUGGGCGUAAAGCGCGCGCAGGCGGUCUUUUAAGUCUGAUGUGAAAGCCCACGGCUCAACCGUGGAGGGUCAUUGGAAACUGGGAGACUUGAGUGCAGAAGAGGAGAGUGGAAUUCCACGUGUAGCGGUGAAAUGCGUAGAGAUGUGGAGGAACACCAGUGGCGAAGGCGACUCUCUGGUCUGUAACUGACGCUGAGGCGCGAAAGCGUGGGGAGCGAACAGGAUUAGAUACCCUGGUAGUCCACGCCGUAAACGAUGAGUGCUAAGUGUUAGAGGGUUUCCGCCCUUUAGUGCUGCAGCUAACGCAUUAAGCACUCCGCCUGGGGAGUACGGCCGCAAGGCUGAAACUCAAAGGAAUUGACGGGGGCCCGCACAAGCGGUGGAGCAUGUGGUUUAAUUCGAAGCAACGCGAAGAACCUUACCAGGUCUUGACAUCCUCUGACAACUCUAGAGAUAGAGCGUUCCCCUUCGGGGGACAGAGUGACAGGUGGUGCAUGGUUGUCGUCAGCUCGUGUCGUGAGAUGUUGGGUUAAGUCCCGCAACGAGCGCAACCCUUGAUCUUAGUUGCCAGCAUUCAGUUGGGCACUCUAAGGUGACUGCCGGUGACAAACCGGAGGAAGGUGGGGAUGACGUCAAAUCAUCAUGCCCCUUAUGACCUGGGCUACACACGUGCUACAAUGGAUGGUACAAAGGGCAGCAAAGCCGCGAGGCCGAGCGAAUCCCAUAAAGCCAUUCUC